CCUACGGGUGGCAGCAGUGGGGAAUUUUCCGCAAUGGGCGAAAGCCUGACGGAGCAAUACCGCGUGAGGGAGGAAGGCUCUUGGGUUGUAAACCUCUUUCGACAGGGACGAAGCGCAAGUGACGGUACCUGUAGAAGAAGCACCGGCUAACUACGUGCCAGCAGCCGCGGUAAUACGGAGGAGGCAAGCGUUAUCCGGAAUUAUUGGGCGUAAAGCGUCCGCAGGUGGCACUUCAAGUCUGUCGUCAAAGACUGGGGCUUAACCCUGGAAAGGCGGUGGAAACUGAAGCGCUAGAGUGUGGUAGGGGUAGAGGGAAUUCCCGGUGUAGCGGUGAAAUGCGUAGAGAUCGGGAGGAACCUCGAAAGCGAAGGCAGCCGGCUAGGCGCGGAUGGACGCUGAGGGACGAAAGCGUGGGGAGCGAACAGGAUUAGAUACCCGUG
rnacentral:rRNA from 1 species